UACGAAGGGGGCUAGCGUUGCUCGGAAUGACUGGGCGUAAAGGGCGCGUAGGCGGAUGAUACAGUCAGAUGUGAAAUUCCCGGGCUUAACCUGGGGGCUGCAUUUGAGACGUGUUGUCUAGAGUGAGGAAGAGGGUUGUGGAAUUCCCAGUGUAGAGGUGAAAUUCGUAGAUAUUCGCAAGAACACCAGUGGCGAAGGCGGCUCACUGGCCCGGUACUGACGCUGAGGUGCGAAAGCGUGGGGAGCAAACAGG
rnacentral:rRNA from 1 species